GGCAGUUUAGUUUAAUGGUAAAACACUUGACGCAUAAUCACAGUGAUGUGAGUUCGAGUCUCAUGGCUGGCCA
rnacentral:tRNA from 1 species